rnacentral:rRNA from 1 species
GACGUAGGGGGCGAGCGUUGUCCGGAUUUAUUGGGCGUAAAGCGUGCGUAGGCGGCUGCGCAAGUCGGGUGUGAAACCCCGGGGCUCAACCCCGGAACUGCAUCCGAUACUGCGUGGCUAGAGGUAGGUAGGGGAGAUCGGAAUUCCCGGUGUAGCGGUGGAAUGCGUAGAGAUCGGGAAGAACAUCAGUGGCGAAGGCGGCCUGCUGGGCUGUUGCUGACGCUGAGGCGCGACAGCGUGGGGAGCAAACAGG